GGGCUCGUGGUGUAGCUUGGCCUAACACAUCUCCCUGUCACGGAGAAGAUCGGCGGUUCAAAUCCGCUCGAGCCCGCCA
rnacentral:tRNA from 1 species